rnacentral:rRNA from 1 species
CAGACGGAAGUUUUCGGAUGGAAGACUGUAAUUCUUAGUGGCGGACGGGUGAGUAACGCGUGGGCAACCUGCCCUAUACAGGGGGAUAGCAGCUGGAAACGGCUGGUAAGACCGCAUAAGUCGGCGAGACCGCAUGGUUUUGCCGGGAAAUGAGCAAUCAGGUAUAGGAUGGGCCCGCGUCCGAUUAGCCAGUUGGCAGGGUAAAAGCCUACCAAAGCAACGAUCGGUAGCCGGACUGAGAGGUCGGACGGCCACAUUGGGACUGAGACACGGCCCAAACUCCUACGGGAGGCAGCAGUGGGGGAUAUUGCACAAUGGAGGAAACUCUGAUGCAGCGACGCCGCGUGAGUGAAGAAGUAUUUCGGUAUGUAAAGCUCUAUCAGCAGGGAAGAUGAUGAC